rnacentral:rRNA from 1 species
GAUGAACGCUAGCGGCAGGCUUAAUACAUGCAAGUCGUGGGGCAGCAUGAGUAGCAAUACUUGAUGGCGACCGGCAAACGGGUGAGGAACACGUACACAACCUUCCUUCAAGCGGGGAAUAGCCCAGAGAAAUUUGGAUUAAUACCCCAUAAUAUAUUUGAUAAGGCAUCUUAUUAAUAUUAAAGCUUCGGCACUUGAUGAUGGGUGUGCGGCUGAUUAGAUAGUUGGCGGGGUAACGGCCCACCAAGUCUACGAUCAGUAGCUGAUGUGAGAGCAUGAUCAGCCACACGGGCACUGAGACACGGGCCCGACUCCUACGGGAGGCAGCAGUAAGGAUAUUGGACAAUGGACGAAGUCUGAUCCAGCCAUGCCGCGU